rnacentral:rRNA from 1 species
UACAUGGGGUGCAAACGUUGCUCGGAAUUAUUGGGCGUAAAGCGCGCGUAGGCGGUUACUUAAGUCGGAUGUGAAAGCCCUCGGCUUAACUGAGGAAGUGCACCCGAAACUGAGUAGCUAGAGUACGAAAGAGGGUCGCGGAAUUCCCGGUGUAGAGGUGAAAUUCGUAGAUAUCGGGAGGAACACCGGUGGCGAAGGCGGCGACCUGGGUCGAGACUGACGCUGAGGAGCGAAAGCGUGGGUAGCAAACAGG